UACGGGGGGGGCAAGCGUUGUUCGGAAUUACUGGGCGUAAAGGGCUCGUAGGCGGCCAACUAAGUCAGACGUGAAAUCCCUCAGCUUAACUGGGGAACUGCGUCUGAUACUGGAUGGCUUGGAUCCGGGAGAGGGAUGCGGAAUUCCAGGUGUAGCGGUGAAAUGCGUAGAUAUCUGGAGGAACACCGGUGGCGAAGGCGGCAUCCUGGACCGACACUGACACUGAGGAGCGAAAGCCAGGGGAGCAAACGGG
rnacentral:rRNA from 1 species